AACGAACGCUGGCGGUGUGCCUCAUACAUGCAAGUCGUACGCGAAUCCUGCCGCAAGGCAGGGUUUGAGUGGCAAACGGGUGCGUAACACGUAGGUAAUCUUCCUUUGAGUUGGGGAUAAGCCCUCGAAAGGGGGUCUAAUACCGAAUAACACUUCGGGCCGGCAUCGGCCUGAAAAUUAAAGAUGGCCUCUGCUUGCAAGCUAUCGCUCGGAGAUGAGCCUGCGGCCGAUUAGUUAGUUGGCGGAUAAAAGCCCACCAAGACUUCGAUCGGUAGCCGGUCU
rnacentral:rRNA from 1 species